rnacentral:rRNA from 1 species
GAGUAUGAUCAUGGCUCAGAUUGAACGCUGGCGGCAGGCCUAACACAUGCAAGUCGAACGGUAACAGGAAGCAGCUUGCUGCUUCGCUGACGAGUGGCGGACGGGUGAGUAAUGUCUGGGAAGCUGCCUGAUGGAGGGGGAUAACUACUGGAAACGGUAGCUAAUACCGCAUAAUGUCGCAAGACCAAAGAGGGGGACCUUCGGGCCUCUUGCCAUCGGAUGUGCCCAGAUGGGAUUAGCUUGUUGGUGGGGUAACGGCUCGCCAAGGCGACGAUCCCUAGCUGGUCUGAGAGGAUGACCAGCCACACUGGAACUGAGACACGGUCCAGACUCCUACGGGAGGCAGCAGUGGGGAAUAUUGCACAAUGGGCGCAAGCCUGAUGCAGCCAUGCCGCGUGUAUGAAGAAGGCCUUCGGGUUGUAAAGUACUUUCAGCGGGGAGGAAGGGAGUAAAGUUAAUACCUUUGCUCAUUGACGUUACCCGCAGAAGAAGCACCGGCUAACUCCGUGCCAGCAGCCGCGGUAAUACGGAGGGUGCAAGCGUUAAUCGGAAUUACUGGGCGUAAAGCGCACGCAGGCGGUUUGUUAAGUCAGAUGUGAAAUCCCCGGGCUCAACCUGGGAACUGCAUCUGAUACUGGCAAGCUUGAGUCUCGUAGAGGGGGGUAGAAUUCCAGGUGUAGCGGUGAAAUGCGUAGAGAUCUGGAGGAAUACCGGUGGCGAAGGCGGCCCCCUGGACGAAGACUGACGCUCAGGUGCGAAAGCGUGGGGAGCAAACAGGAUUAGAUACCCUGGUAGUCCACGCCGUAAACGAUGUCGACUUGGAGGUUGUGCCCUUGAGGCGUGGCUUCCGGAGCUAACGCGUUAAGUCGACCGCCUGGGGAGUACGGCCGCAAGGUUAAAACUCAAAUGAAUUGACGGGGGCCCGCACAAGCGGUGGAGCAUGUGGUUUAAUUCGAUGCAACGCGAAGAACCUUACCUGGUCUUGACAUCCACGGAAGUUUUCAGAGAUGAGAAUGUGCCUUCGGGAACCGUGAGACAGGUGCUGCAUGGCUGUCGUCAGCUCGUGUUGUGAAAUGUUGGGUUAAGUCCCGCAACGAGCGCAACCCUUAUCCUUUGUUGCCAGCGGUCCGGCCGGGAACUCAAAGGAGACUGCCAGUGAUAAACUGGAGGAAGGUGGGGAUGACGUCAAGUCAUCAUGGCCCUUACGACCAGGGCUACACACGUGCUACAAUGGCGCAUACAAAGAGAAGCGACCUCGCGAGAGCAAGCGGACCUCAUAAAGUGCGUCGUAGUCCGGAUUGGAGUCUGCAACUCGACUCCAUGAAGUCGGAAUCGCUAGUAAUCGUGGAUCAGAAUGCCACGGUGAAUACGUUCCCGGGCCUUGUACACACCGCCCGUCACACCAUGGGAGUGGGUUGCAAAAGAAGUAGGUAGCUUAACCUUCGGGAGGGCGCUUACCACUUUGUGAUUCAUGACUGGGGUGAAGUCGUAACAAGGUA